rnacentral:rRNA from 1 species
UACGAGUGGUGCGAGCGUUGUUCGGAAUUACUGGGCAUAAAGAGCACGUAGGCGGUCUGGUAAGUCUGCUGUGAAAUCCCCCGGCUCAACCGGGGAGCUGCAGUUGAUACUGCUGGGCUAGAGUGCGGGAGGGGAGAGCGGAAUUCCUGGUGGAGCGGUGAUAUGCGUAGAUAUCAGGAGGAACGCCGGAGGCGAAAGCGGCUCUCUGGUCCGUAACUGACGCUGAGGUGCGACAGCUAUGGGAGCGAACAGG